CAUUACAGAGCUUCUAAGCUUAAGGGGGUAAAACCUCUGAGCGAGAACUCCACCCUUUGUUUACAUACCUUUGUUGCUUUAGCAGGCCCGCUCUCGAGCCGCCGGCAAUAGCUGGUCCGCGCCUGCUAGAGGACCUAAAACUCAUGUUAAUAAUAUUGUCUGAGUACUAUAAUAAUAGUUAAAACUUUCAACAACGGAUCUCUUGGUUCUGGCAUCGAUGAAGAACGCAGCGAAAUGCGAUAAGUAAUGUGAAUUGCAGAAUUCAGUGAAUCAUCGAAUCUUUGAACGCACAUUGCGCCCUCUGGUAUUCCGGGGGGCAUGCCUGUUCGAGCGUCAUUACAACCCUCAAGCUCUGCUUGGUAUUAGGCUUCACCUGCUACAGGCGAGCCUUAAAAUCAGUGGCGGUGCCUUCUGGCUUCAAGCGUAGUAAUACUUCUCGUUUGGGAGCUCCAGUUGUGUACCUGCUAUAAAAACCCCAAUUUUUAAAGGUUGACCUCGGAUCAGGUAGGGAUACCCGCUGAACUUAAGCAUAUCAAUAAGCGGAGGAAAAGAAACCAACAGGGAUUGCCUCAGUAACGGCGAGUGAAGCGGCAACAGCUCAAAUUUGAAAUCUGGCUCUUUGAGUCCGAAUUGUAAUUUGUAGAGGAUGUUUCGAGCGUGGUCCGGUCUAAGUUCCUUGGAACAGGACGUCAUAGAGGGUGAGAAUCCCGUAUGUGACCGGGUGCCUAUGUUCAUGUGAA
rnacentral:rRNA from 1 species